AGAAAGGGAAGGUAGUGCAAAGAGAGGAGGAAUAAAUACUUACAUAGUGCAUUGUUUUUCUUGCAGAUGCUAUUGGAGUGAUAGUCACCCUAGUACAGCGGACCAGCAUGUACCGACAAAGUUCCAGUCCCAUCUCGGACCAAUGAAAGCUUGAGCAGCACUGGAAUGAUUAGGCCACAGAUUAGCUUCCGGGUGAAGACUUCGAUCUCUCCUUUCACGAAUGAGAGGAGGCAAACAAGCCUUGUUAUCUCCAUUCUACAGAAACAGGAGCUUCAGGCAGGGGGAAGGGUCACCUUGGAAAAUUCAGUAGGUGCCUAUCUGCUUCUUAAAGCUAUCCUAUAA
rnacentral:lncRNA from 1 species